UGCAAUGAGGAAGCGGUAAAACGUCAGAGAACAAGAUGGCGGAACAAACAUUAGAACAAUAUACAUAUUUUGUAAGAGAUGCCUUAUGCAGCAUAUUUGGGGUGAGUGACGUUAGCCACUAAAUACAUGUUCUUGACCUAUUAGCUAGCUAGCUAGUAAACCAACUAUUUGCUUCACUUUCACUGCUAGCUAGCUAACUAACGCCAGUUUAUGCGUCUGUCCAGUUGAACUGCAGUUUCUACUCCAAGUCAAUAUUCAAGAGAACCAGACACUUAUCAGCAGUGGAUCCAUCACAGCCAAGGGGUGAAAAUGUGUCAGAGUUUCUACCACACCCACAUUUUAUCCUGAUGGUGGACUGCUUCUAUUAUGCACAGUCUGUGAAGCACCUGGCUGGACCAGAGACCUGCAUCAUAUGAUGCCAUGAGCAACACACAGUGGAUGUCAACCGCAAAGUUUAUAAAACAUUUUUUGAGUUGCUGCUACGAGACUUCCAGUCUGAAGAGAUCCCUUUGGACAAGCAGGACCCAGAGUAUAACAGUCCUGACAUCUGCAUCCUUCACAUUCGCAGAGCUGUCUGAGUGAGUGAGUAGGUGGGUGUGGGUGUCAGGGUUGUUGUGUUAUACAUAUAAUUAACUUGCACUCCUAUGGAGAAAUGAAUUUACAGUUCAACUGAGUAAUUGAAAUGGAAUGGACCCCAACAUUAUGUGAUUGUGUUUAGAGGGUAGAGCACUAAGAACUUAUCUAAAAAUCCUUCCUAUUAUAUAUAUCCAUAUUGUGUCUCAGUACGUGCUAUGAGUUUUACCAGCCUGUGAUUGUCAUUGCACCAUAAUAAUAAAUACAAUAUACCAGUUAGUGAAAAGGGAAAAUAAAACAUUAUUCUAUAUUUUCUCAUUUCAGUAUUUAACUGUAGGAACACAUUUGUAGGAUCAUUAAUUGAAUUCUUAAUAAAAGUUCAUGAAAUAAA